UGGCGGACGGGUGAGUAAUGUCUGGGAAACUGCCCGAUGGAGGGGGAUAAUACUGGAAACGGUAGCUAAUACCGCAUAACGUCGCUAAGACCAAGAGGGGACCUUCGGGCCUCUUGCCAUCGGAUGUGCCCAGAUGGGAUUAGCUAGUAGGUGGGGUAACGGCUCACCUAGGCGACGAUCCCUAGCUGGUCUGAGAGGAUGACCAGCCACACUGGAACUGAGACACGGUCCAG
rnacentral:rRNA from 1 species